rnacentral:rRNA from 1 species
UACAGAGGUCCCGGAGCGUUGUUCGGAUUCACUAGGGGCGUAAAGGGUGCGUGAGGUGGACUUUGAAAAGUUUGAUGAUGAAAGCUCAGGGCUUAACCCUGAAAUGGCAUUGAAUACUGUCGAGCUGGAGGUUUGGAGGGGGGACUGGAAUUCUUGGUGUAGCAGUGAAAUGCGUAGAUAUCAAGAGGAACACCAGUGGCGAAGGCGAGUCCCUGGACAACACCUGACACUGAGGCACGAAAGCUAGGGGAGCAAACAGG